ACUACGAGGGUAUCUAAUCCUGUUUGCUCACCACUUUCGUGCAUGAGCGUCAGUGUUAUCCGGGAGGCGCCUUCGCUGCAUCGUUCCUCCGCAUAUCCACGCAUUUCGCCACGCGCAAAAAUUACCUCCCCUCGACACGCUCAGCUCGGUAGUUAAAAAUGCAGUUCCAGUUAAGCUCUGGGAUUUUACAUCUUUCUUCCAGACGCGCGCACGGCACACGCCCAGUAAUUCCGUUAACGCUUGCACCCUACGUAUUACCGCGGCUGCUGGCGUAGUUAGCCGGUGCUUAUUCUGCAGACACCGUCAGUUGCGCAGGGUAUUAUCCCGUGCCGUUUUCUUUCCUGCCAAAAUUCUUCUGGCAAAGGCCUUCAUCGCACGCGCGGAAUGCGCUGGAUCAGGGUUUCCCAUUGUCCAAGUUACUGCUGCCCCCGUA
rnacentral:misc_RNA from 1 species